GUUUUUUGUCUGUCUUCCGUAAACAAGCGCUGUAACAUGGAGAUAUGGCAGUGUGGGAACACUAAUCCUAUGACGCUGAUGUGUGAUGAUGAGCUCUGGGACAGAAAUGCCUGCACAGGCAUCACUCAGGAGGGUGCUACACAUUGAUAGUGGAUGAGUCGUUUUUGUGCGUGGAAUGGCAGCCAUCCAUCAAGCAAGCAAGAGGAAGCAGUCAAGACCAGGAAGUGAUGUUCUGUAUCAGUGAAGUCAGGUGACAGCAAAUCCAUAUCCCAGAUUACAGCUGCCCCAUUUAAGAGAAGAGGAAGAAGUGGAAAACACAGAAAUGUUUUGGAAAAUGAAGUAAAAUCAUACAAUUAAAUCCAAAUGUGCAAUUUCAAUCCCUAGCAUUCUUAAUUCAACUCUCAGUAAUAGUUUUAAAAUCUCAAGCUUCUAACAAUUGUGUUUGCUGGACAUAGUUCUGCCAUUUAGUAAAGUAAACAAGUAUGUAUGCCAUGGGUUACAGAGUUUAGAGUGCUUCUUAUGGUGGUGAUGCAACCCAGACAGUGGCUUGUGCACUUUCCUGUAUGUAUGGGGUGACAUGCAUGCAUUACUCAAAGCUAUGGUGAAUAACAAUGAAGUCAAUGUCUAAAAUUACAUCCACAGCAUUUCGAAUAACAUGUGAAGCAGUAGCCUAUUUGUUCACACUACGCUGAAGCUACUGAACAACUAAAGCAUGACCCGUGUACCCUGACCAUCAGGAUAUGGAGUGGAUAUAUUUUCAGGAUAUCUUCCCAUUCAUAGCAGCAGGGUACGAAGUCCAAACUGAUGCCCAUUAGGUCCAAAUCAUUGAUGUCAGAGUCAUGUCAGGAUUAGCUUGACGACUCAAACUGAAUUAUUCCGCUUGCUCUAUGUUCG
ensembl:lncRNA